CUCUACCCGUACCGCAAACCGACACAGGUAGUCGAGGCGAGUAGCCUCAGGUGAGCGAGAGAACUCUCGUUAAGGAACUCGGCAAAAUGACCCCGUAACUUCGGGAGAAGGGGUGCUGACUUUAAGUCAGCCGCAGUGAAUAGGCCCAAGCAACUGUUUAUCAAAAACACAGCUCUCUGCUAAAUCGUAAGAUGAUGUAUAGGGGGUGACGCCUGCCCGGUGCUGGAAGGUUAAGAGGAGUGCUUAGCGUAAGCGAAGGUAUGAAUUGAAGCCCCAGUAAACGGCGGCCGUAACUAUAACGGUCCUAAGGUAGCGAAAUUCCUUGUCGGGUAAGUUCCGACCCGCACGAAAGGCGUAAUGAUUUGGGCACUGUCUCAACGAGAGACUCGGUGAAAUUUUAGUACCUGUGAAGAUGCAGGUUACCCGCGACAGGACGGAAAGACCCCAUGGAGCUUUACUGCAGUUUGAUAUUGAGUGUCUGUACCACAUGUACAGGAUAGGUAGGAGUCUAAGA
rnacentral:rRNA from 1 species